UGACGAGUCCCAAAUAGGACGAAACGCUCGUC
rfam:Schistosoma margrebowiei strain Zambia genome assembly, scaffold: SMRZ_scaffold0000315